AUACGUAGGGGGCGAGCGUUGUCCGGAAUGAUUGGGCGUAAAGGGCGCGUAGGCGGCCCGGUAAGUCUGGAGUGAAAGUCCUGUUUUUAAGAUGGGAAUUGCUUUGGAUACUGUCGGGCUUGAGUGCAGGAGAGGUAAGUGGAAUUCCCAGUGUAGCGGUGAAAUGCGUAGAGAUUGGGAGGAACACCAGUGGCGAAGGCGACUUACUGGACUGUAACUGACGCUGAGGCGCGAAAGUGUGGGGAGCAAACAGGAUUAGAUACCCUGGUAGUCCACACUGUAAACGAUGAAUGCUAGGUGUAGGGGGUAUCGACCCCUUCUGUGCCGCAGUCAACACAAUAAGUAUUCCGCCUGGGGAGUACGGCCGCAAGGUUGAAACUCAAAUGAAUUGGCGG
rnacentral:rRNA from 1 species